rnacentral:lncRNA from 1 species
AGUGCGCAGUUGGGUGCAUUAUUUGGUGACAUCCAGUGCUAACUGUUUUUUCAAGGCCACCGAGUGGAGUGAGGGUGAGUAGUGUGGCAUCAGCCUUCCGUUUAUUUAGCUGGUUCUAGGAUCUCCUUUGUUGCUGCAUCUUGAUCUCCUGCUUUGCUGUAACUAUGUUCUGCUGCUUGAUGUUUGUUUCCUUCUUUCUAGCUACAUGCUUAUUCUUUCUAGCCACAUGCAUGUUUUCCUUUUGCUGUGGGAAAUAGUUCAGUUAUAUUUAUCAGUAGCAUCUCUAUGUUUAUAGAUACAUACUAGGAACAUGCUUAUUUAGUGUGGCCUUCUCUUUUUUAUGCAAGAAGUGUGCCUUCUCUAAUCUGACAAUCAUCUUAUUUGUUGUUCUAAAUAAUUACUGCAGGAUGGAGCAGCAGGCAUAGAUGAAAUCUACUGCAAAUUUCUAUUGGUUGCGGCAUCUUCCGCUGAGUAACUCUACAAAACAGCCUGCUAGCAUUGAUUCUUGCAAUAAAAAAAUAAGUCUGGCAUCAUUCAUAAAAAGCUUAUAGACAUAGAUAAUUUCUUAAUACUGCACUGGUUCUCACCAGUGAGAUUGUAGAUGUGGUAUUUUGAGAAUACCAGUGUAAUUCACUGGUCCAAAAGCUCCAUUUCUUAAUGUGUUUUUGCAGAAUGCUACCAGUAAUGUUUUUCUUUUCCUUAAUGUACAAACAUAUCUAUUAGAUAUGAUUUUGGAUCUGAACUUUUCCCUGUCUGCAGCUCACAUUGUGGUAUGGUCAUGGUAAAGCAAAAGGAAAAGAUGUUUAAACUUUUUUUGGGCGUCAUACAUGAAAAGUACCUUUAUUUCCAUCGAGCUUAAUUACUAAGAAAAUGUUACCACUAUUUCCUUACUAAUAAACCUAAAUGUUCUGAAAGUUCGGUCUCUUGCUCUCUUUGCUUAUGAAUUGGACACUUUCCCUUUCUUUAGUCCUUACACGGUUCCACCUCGCUUUGACUUCAUACUUUGAUGGUGUUUGUAGGUAUGAAGACUUGAAGAGUGGUCAUAAUGUUACUUAAAGGAGGCCUCAACUUGCACCAAAUGCAUGGGCAUGUGCAACAGCAACUUAUGUAGGUGAGUAGGUAUUUAUGCUUAGUUUUGACUUGAGUACAAAAAAGAGCUUGCUGACAUAUACAAGAGAAUAGGCUACCCAUUCUUGAAUUGAAUCAGAUUGGUAGACUAAACCACUGUGGUGUACUCUUUGCUGCUGAGUUAUUACAAUCCAACUGAAAAUAAGGGGAAAACAAACAUGAUCCUGCCAUUUAAAUUAUCUCAUGUUUGUGGAGAAAAGUUGCAUAGUUAGCUAUUGUAAAAUACUAUCGACCCAGUUUUUGUUCAAUAGACGUCCCUUCUUCGAAUGUAGCUUGAACCUGCGCAAGGGCAUGGUAGCAUGCUCAUUCUAUUUUUUUUACUAAGGUGGUUACACUUUCCAACUUUUUGCUGAAAGAUAGUCAAUUUAGUCAUGAGCUAUAGCGGCGUUUCUGUUUACUGAAUUUUGUUUUGCAGUUCCCUUCUCUUGAAUGUUUAUUCAAAUGUGCCUAAUGUUUUUUUCAGGUUUCUAAAAACCAAUAAAUGCUGCUCUCAAAUCAGUUAGGAGGCUGAAGGUAGUAGCUUACUGAACUCUCAUUUCUGGAAAAAUCUGGAGAUGUCUUGGUAUGGAGUUUCAUGAUCAACUUGCUCCGGCAUAGUUAGUCUUUCUAGACUAAUUGUUUGUCAGUAUCUAUUCUAUACAUGUGUUUGAUUGGUUGUGCAAACAUGCAUGCAUUGUUCUGUGUGGAAAUUGCUUUAUCCGGUCUGUUCUAUAGCAUUGUUUCCAGUGGCUGUUUAGCACAUAUAUUUAGAUAGUUGCAUACGCAUGCUUGGUUCUGCCAGAAAAUUAUCUUCCCUGAUAUGUUUUUAGAUGCUAUUUGGUAUACAUGUUUGUCUUUGUCAUGUUUAUGUUGAGUUGUGGGUUCCAAAGGUAUUUAUGAUGAUCGUUUGCAUGGUGGGUCAUGUCAGCGAUGUGCAUUGCAUAUUCAUGAUUCAAACUCUUUGUUGGGUAUAUGAAGUUGUUUUUGAAUGGCCCAUGAUUCGUUUUUAUUAGUAUUUUAGUUUAAGCAUUUCUCCAGAGAAUCUUGAUAUCCAGCUGUAUAUAUAUCCAGUCAUGUUUUUUUACUCUGACCGAUUUCUUUUUUUUUGUUUUACAGUUUGUACAAUCUCUAAAGAUGGUGCUCCAUUGUUCUGUUAAUCAAGAUUUGUUCCCUCCUUUCUUACUAGCUGAUACGUGAUGACCGUUUGCAUGGGGUUUAUGUUAGCUAUAUUCUAUUCAUGAUUCAAACUGUUUGUUGGGUAAUUUAGUUUAGACAUUGUGUCCUGAGAAUCUUGAUAUCUAGCUGUAUUGGUAUAGUAUAGUUUGUGAUUUUUCGCUCUGAAUUUAUAUAUCCACUCAGGUUGGGAUAGGUUACGAGUAUUCUUAGUGUGGAAACAGCGACAGUGCUGCACUUUCAUCAUAUGAUGAUAUGCCAACCUUGCGCCAUUUGGCUCUAUGUUACCUGAAUAAGAUAACAAAAUACACAUGCUCAAGUAUAUGUUUUCAAAGUUGAAUUAUCCUUCAUUUUCCAUUUUAAAUGGUUUGAAUAAGUAUCCUAAGUGGCUGCUAAAACUUACUUCUAC